rnacentral:rRNA from 1 species
UACGGAGGGUGCGAGCGUUGUCCGGAAUCACUGGGCGUAAAGGGCGCGUAGGUGGCCGAGCAAGGUCGCGGUGAAAGCCCGGGGCUCAACCCCGGGUCGGCCGUGGCAACUACUGGGCUGGAGCACUGUAGGGGCGGGUGGAAUUCCGGGUGUAGCGGUGGAAUGCGUAGAGAUCCGGAAGAACACCGGUGGCGAAGGCGGCCCGCUGGGCCGACACUGACGCUGAUGCGCGAAAGCCAGGGGAGCGAACGGG